UUUAUUGAGAGUUUGAUCCUGGCUCAGGAUGAACGCUGGCGGCAUGCCUAAGACAUGCAAGUCGAACGAGAUGGCCCAGUGAAGGUUGAGUGCUUGCACAAGACUGAAUCUGGAUUCCCAUCUAGUGGCAGACGGGUGAGUAACACGUGGGUGACCUACCUUUUCGUUGGGGAUAACAGUUGGAAACGAUUGCUAAUACCGAAUAAAAUGUAAGAGUCAAUUUUACAUUGAAAGGAGCCUUUAAAGCUUCGCGAUUAGAUGGGCCUGCGGCGUAUUAACUAGUUGGUGAGGUAAUGGCUUACCAAGGUGACGAUGCGUAGCCGAACUGAGAGGUUGAUCGGCCACAUUGGGACUGAGACACGGCCCAAACUCCUACGGGAGACAGCAGUUAGGAAUAUUCGUCAAUGGAGGAAACUCUGAACGAGCAAUGCCGCGUGAGUGAUGAAGGUCUUAUAGAUUGUAAAACUCUGUUGUAUGGAAAAAACGACUAGGUUAGGAAAUGAACUUAGUGUGAUGGUACCAUACCAGAAAGCCCCGGCUAACUACGUGCCAGCAGCCGCGGUAAUACGUAGGGGGCGAGCGUUAUCCGGAUUUAUUGGGCGUAAAGCGUGUGUAG
rnacentral:ncRNA from 1 species